rnacentral:tRNA from 1 species
GGGUCCAUAGCUCAGUGGUAGAGCAAUUGACUGCAGAUCAAUAGGUCACUGGUUCGUUGGCCG